GACCAGGCUGGACUCUAACUUAC
rnacentral:piRNA from 1 species